UACGGAGGGUGCAAACGUUGCUCGGAAUCAUUGGGCGUAAAGCGCACGUAGGCGGUCGGCUAUGUCGGAUGUGAAAGCCUCGGGCUUAACCCGAGAGGGCAUCCGAAACUGGCCGGCUUGAGUACGGAAGAGGGUCUCGGAAUUCCCGGUGGUAGAGGUGAAAUUCGUAGAUAUCGGGAGGGAACACCAGAUGGCGGAAGGACGG
rnacentral:rRNA from 1 species